AGUGCCUAACAUAACAGAGAUAUGGGACAAGCAAUUACUCAUAGUCCUAGAAAAUGAAUCAAAAUCCUUUUGCCAACUGAAAGAGAUGGAGGUUAAUAAUUGUGAGAAAAUGGUGAAUGUUGUUUGGUCCAAUAUGGUCCCACAACUGCAGAGUCUGGAAAAACUCAAUGUAUAUGGUUGUCCAAAUAUGGAAGUGAUAGUUUGGGAACAAGAAAAUGAAAAAGGACCCACCAAUGAUGAUAUCAUUCUGUUCACUCGACUAACAACUCUCUGUCUUCAAAAUUUAACGAAACUUAAAAGUUUUUACAGUUGGCCUACAAAAUCGGAAGCACAACCUUUGUUCAACCACCAGGUUGCUUUCCCAGUCUUGGAGAAUUUGAAAAUUACUAAAGUGCCUAACAUAACAGAGAUAUGGGACAAGCAAUUACUCACAGUCCUAGAAAAUGAAUCAAAAUCCUUCUGCCAACUGAAAGAGAUAGAGGUUAAUAAUUGUGAGAAACUGAAUGUUGUUUGGUCCAAUAUGCACCCACAACUGCAGAAUCUGGAAAAACUCAAUGUAUAUGGUUGUCCAAAUAUGAAAGUGAUAGUCUGGGAACAAGAAAAUGAAAAAGGACGCACCAGUGAUGAUAUUAUUGUGUUCACUCAACUAACAACUCUCUGUCUUCAAAAUUUAACGAAACUUAAAAGUUUUUACAGUUGGCCUACAAGAUCAAAAGCACAACCUUUGUUCAACCACUAGGUCGCUUUCCCAGCCUUGGAGGAAUUGCUUAUUUCUGGGGUGCCUAACAUAACUGAGAUUUUGGGCAAUCAAUUUCCCUCCAAACAUAAAGUCAAAUGUUUUGAGAAACGGAUGAAUGCUGUUCAAUCUAAUAUGCUCCCAAGGCUACAGAAUCUGAGAAAACUCUUAGAGAACGCAAAAGAGAAAGAAAUGGCCCAAGAAAAGAAAAGAAAUGAUGAUGUCAUCAUAUUCCCUCGACUGAGGACUGUGAGACUUGACAGUUUACAGAACCUUGAAACUUUUUGCAGGACUGCAAGAUCCGAAACACAAACCUUGUUCAACCAUCAGAUUGCAUGCCCCGAAUUGAGGGUAUUGUCCAUUGGUUGGUUGCCAAACAUAAUAGAUGUGUGGGACAAGAAAUUACUCCCAACAGGGUCCUUUUGUCAACUAAGAGAAGUGAGGAUCGAGGGAUGUGACAAACUGGUGAAUGUGAUUCUAUCCAAUAUGCUCCCACGAUUGCAGAAUUUAACAGAACUCUCUGUACAAUACUGUCCAAUGGUGGAAGAGAUAUUAACAGAGAAAGGGAAAGAAAAAGCAAAUGCAGAAGCCAAAGAAA